GGGGCCAUAUUUUAAUUUUAAAAUAUGUGUUUUGCAAUCACAAGAUUUGGGCUCUA
rnacentral:tRNA from 1 species